CCCCCCCACUCCACCAUCCAAACCAGCAGGCGAGCAGCGGGAAUAUCUGAAAGUGGAGCCGCCAUCUCGCAUUCCCAUCCUGCCCAAGCGGAGUGAGAAUGCAGAGAAGAAUAGUCUGCCAUUUACCAGACCGUGCAAUCCGCCCCCAUCUAUACCCAAUGGGUACCCUACUAAACAGGCUGCAGCCUCGUCUGCUGUGAUUCCGAGGCAACGCGGGCGCGUUGCGUUGAUGCCCUCUGCUCAAAAGAGGGAAUCCGAAGGCAGCCAUGCAGCGGACGAACGCGUACCAACAGGGAAGCCGGUUCCCACUCCUCGCUCCUUCCCUCCCCGUCAAUCCAGUGCCACGCGGUCGAAGAGUGACGUGUCCUGCCUCUCCUUGGAGCUGAAGGAGGCGUUUCUGAAGAAGAGGAUUUUUAAAGAGUAGAGGGACCUCUCCCGGGCUCGCGAUGAACUUUCCUACGGCGUGUGGUGCUGUAUAGGGUGGAAAGAUCUACUGGAAGUGCAUCGCCAUGUCGCAGCCAGUGGGUGUCUCUGAGUAAGGUAACAGGCACAUCUUUACCUAGAGGGUUAUCCUGUGGUUCCGGAGGGGAUGGGACCCCCAGGGACCCCCAGGGACCUGAGUCCAUGGGCUCUGUGGUCUGCUUCUGGUCGUCACUGAUGGCUGUCGAGCCUCACUCUUCUCAGGUUUCUCUCCUGAUACAGACAGACUUGGUUUCACUCCUCAUUGUCAACUCACGCCUCG
ensembl:lncRNA